rnacentral:rRNA from 1 species
AAUGAACGCUGGCGGCAUGCCUUACACAUGCAAGUCGAACGGUAACAGGUUAAGCUGACGAGUGGCGAACGGGUGAGUAAUAUAUCGGAACGUGCCCAGUCGUGGGGGAUAACGUGGCGAAAGCUACGCUAAUACCGCAUACGAUCUACGGAUGAAAGCGGGGGAUAGCAAGACCUCGCGCGAUUGGAGCGGCCGAUAUCAGAUUAGGUUGUUGGUGAGGUAAAAGCUCACCAAGCCUGCGAUCCGUAGCUGGUCUGCGAGGACGACCAGCCGCAGUGGAACUGAGCCACGGUCCAGACUCCUACGGGAGGUAGCAGUGGGGAAGUGUGGACAAUGGACGCAAGUCUGAUCCAGCAGGGCCACGUGCAGGGCGAAGGCCUUCGGGUUGUAAUCUGCUUUUGUACGGAACGAAACGGUGAGCUUUAAUACAGUUUGCUAAUGACGGUACCGUAAGAAUAAGCACCGGCUAACUACGUGCCAGCCGCCGCCGUAA